rnacentral:tRNA from 1 species
GAGAGUAUAGCUCAGUGGUAGAGUGCAUGCCUAGCAUGCACAAGGUCCUGGGUUCAAUCCCUAGUACCUCCA